rnacentral:rRNA from 1 species
CAGUCGCCGCGGUAACACCAGCAGCCCAAGUGGUGGUCGCGAUUAUUGGGCCUAAAGCGCUCGUAGCCGGGCCGGUAAGUCCCUGGUGAAAUCGGACGGCCUAACCGUUCGGCGUGCAAGGGAUACUGUCGGUCUUGAGGCCGGGAGACGUCCGAGGUACUCCGGGGGUAGCGGUGAAAUGUUCUGAUCCUCGGGGGACCACCGGUGGCGAAGGCGUUCGACGAGAACGGGCCUGACGGUGAGGGGCGAAGGCUAGGGGAGCAAACGGGAUUAGAUACCCCAGUAGUCCCUGUCUCUUAUA